GAUGAAGAACGUAGCGAAAUGCGAUAAGUAAUGUGAAUUGCAGAAUUCAGUGAAUCAUCGAAUCUUUGAACGCACCUUGCACUCCUUGGUAUUCCGAGGAGUACGCCUGUUCGAGUGUUAUGAAGCUCUCAAAACGCAAUUGGCUUAAAACCUGAUUGUUGUUUUGGAUUUGAACUUUGCCGUGUUAUAACGGCUGGUUUUAAAAGUAUUAGCUGGUACUAGAACGAAUUGGUUCUACUCAACGUGAUAAUUAUCUGAUCGUUGAGGACAUUCCUUUCACGAGGAAUGGCCAUAGUAAAUUCAAUGGACUGCUUCUAAUCUGGCUUUAAUUCUUUAUUGGAUUAACCACUUUUCAAAUCUGACCUUGAAUCAGGUGGGACUACCCGCUGAACUUAAGCAUAUCAAUAAGCGGAGGA
rnacentral:misc_RNA from 1 species